CAUGAGUGCGCGCGCGGUCUCUCCUCCACACUGCGGAUACACGCGCCGACUUCUGGGACCACAACCGCGAUUAAAAGACCGCGAAAGCAGUGUUAUUGACAAAAUCAGUUUGAGGCAGCAAACAUCAAGUAGCUGACUCAGCCGAGGCUCCAACAACAGACAUAAUAGCAGUUCUGCACGGCGGAUUCACAAAGAUCUGGAAAGGAAGGACUAACUAAAGACUCGACUCAGGGCCAGCCAAUCACAAGACACCUUCACAUUCCCGCCUUCACUGACUGGGAACUGAACCAAUGCCACACAGAAACAAGGCGAGUCAGUCAUAAUACUGAACCCAGAUUUUAACUGCUCUGUUAUCUUUUAAAAUGUGUUAUUGCUAGUGUCAAUUUUAUAUAUUUUGGUUAACAAUUGCAGUUAAAUGAACAGUAUUUAAUGCAAACAAGUGUUGCACUGAAUGCCAUGUUUACAGGACAUCUUGCAUUUUAAGUCUGUUGGUUUAUUUUUCACCAUGUUGAUAUACUUUGUAGAAUAAAGUAAAAUCAUUUGUUUCUCAGUAAUUUGUUUAUCCAUCCAUCCAUCCAUUUUCUACCGCUUAUUCCCUACCGCUGGUGCCUAUCUCAGCUACAAUCGGGCGGAAGGCGGGAUACACCCUGGACAAGUCGCCACCUCAUCGCAGAGCCAACACAGAUGGACAACAUUCACACUCACAUUCACACACUAGGGCCAACUUAGUGUUGCCAAUCAACCUAUCCCCAGGUGCAUGUCUUUGGAGGCGGGAGGAAGCCGGAGUACCCGGAGGGAACCCACGCAGUCACGGGGAGGACAUGCAAACUCCACACAGAAAGA